GUAUGAGCGUUCAGAUCCAUAACAAAUUCUUUAUAUGGUUAUAAUAGUGGAAAUCGGAUUUAAUGCCGAUUCUACACAUAUGGUAUUGAUAGUUGUGGUAUUCUCGAACCGUUCUUUAUCAUCAGUCAACGGCGUUUAUGUUUUGGGUAAUUACAGGACCCGUCUUGAAACACGGACCAAGGAGUCUAGCAUGUGCGCAAGUCAUUGGGACUUUNUGAAACCUAA
rnacentral:rRNA from 1 species